UCCGGAGGAUGCAAGCGUUAUCCGGAAUGAUUGGGCGUAAAGCGUCCGCAGGUGGCUGUGUAAGUCUGCUGUUAAAGAGUCUAGCUCAACUAGAUAAAAGCAGUGGAAACUACACGGCUAGAGUACGUUCGGGGCAGAGGGAAUUCCUGGUGUAGCGGUGAAAUGCGUAGAGAUCAGGAAGAACACCGGUGGCGAAGGCGCUCUGCUAGGCCGUAACUGACACUGAGGGACGAAAGCUAGGGGAGCGAAUGGG
rnacentral:rRNA from 1 species